GCAAUGCGAUAAGUAAUGUGAAUUGCAGAAUUCAGUGAAUCAUCGAAUCUUUGAACGCACCUUGCGCUCCUUGGUAUUCCGAGGCGCAUGCCUGUUUGAGUGUCAUGAAAUCAUCCACCUAUAAACCUGUGUGGGUUUGUAUGCUUGGAUUUGGAGGCUUGUCGGCCUAACAGUCGGCUCCUCUUAAAUGCAUUAGCUUGAUUCCUUGCGGAUCGGCUCUCGGUGUGAUAAUUGUCUACGCCGCGACCGUGAAGCGUUUGGCGAGCUUCUAAUCGUCUUGUAUGAGACAACUUAUUGACCUCUGACCUCAAAUCAGGUAGGACUACCCGCUGAACUUAA
rnacentral:misc_RNA from 1 species